AAGCAGGGGAUCGUAAGACCUUGCGCUUUUGGAGUGGCCGAUGCCUGAUUAGCUAGUUGGUGGGGUAAGGGCCUACCAAGGCAACGAUCAGUAGUUGGUCUGAGAGGACGACCAGCCACACUGGGACUGAGACACGGCCCAGACUCCUACGGGAGGCAGCAGUGGGGAAUUUUGGACAAUGGGCGAAAGCCUGAUCCAGCAAUGCCGCGUGAGUGAAGAAGGCCUUCGGGUUGUAAAGCUCUUUCAGUCGAGAAGAAAAGGUUGUGACUAAUAAUCACAACUUAUGACGGUACCAACAGAAGAAGCACCGGCUAACUACGUGCCAGCAGCCGCGGUAAUACGUAGGGUGCGAGCGUUAAUCGGAAUUACUGGGCGUAAAGGGUGCGCAGGCGGCUUUGUAAGUCAGAUGUGAAAUCCCCGGGCUUAACCUGGGAAUUGCGUUUGAAACUACAAAGCUUAG
rnacentral:rRNA from 1 species